rnacentral:lncRNA from 1 species
AUACAAUUAUCUUCAAAUUUUAUGUAUUUUUUGCUAACUUAGUUGUUGAGAAGUAAAUAGAAUUUUAAAUAAGAUUUAUGGUUUAAUCGAUAGAUAUUGAGGUUCUAAAUUAUAUUAUGAUUAGAUUGAGUUGAUUAGGUUUUGAUUAGGAUUUGGUUCGGGAUUAGGAUUACAUUAGAAUUUAUGAUUUGGUUAAGAUUUGAUCAAGAUUUAGGAUUAGAUUAAGAUUUAAGGUUUGGUUUAGGAUUUGUUUAAAAUUUAAGAUUUAGGGUUUAAAGUUUAUUUAAGGUUUAGGAUUUGGCCUAAGAUUUUAUUGAAUUCUACUAAGGUUU